UACGUAGGGUGCGAGCGUUAAUCGGAAUUACUGGGCGUAAAGCGUGCGCAGGCGGUUUUGUAAGUCAGAUGUGAAAUCCCCGGGCUUAACCUGGGAACUGCGUUUGAAACUACAAGGCUGGAGUGUGGCAGAGGGGGGUGGAAUUCCACGUGUAGCAGUGAAAUGCGUAGAGAUGUGAAGGAACACCGAUGGCGAAGGCAGCCCCCUGGGUUAACACUGACGCUCAGGCACGAAAGCGUGGGGAGCAAACAGG
rnacentral:rRNA from 1 species